rnacentral:rRNA from 1 species
GUGCCAGCAGCCGCGGUAAGACAGAGGGGGCAAGCGUUGCUCGGAAUUACUGGGCGUAAAGGGCGCGUAGGCGGGAUGGCAAGUCGGUCGUGAAAUCCCUGGGCUCAACUCAGGGGGGUCGGCCGAUACUGCCAUUCUUGAGGGAUGCAGAGGAGACUGGAAUUCCCGGUGUAGCGGUGAAAUGUGUAGAGAUCGGGAGGAACACCGGUGGCGAAGGCGGGUCUCUGGGCAUUCCCUGACGCUGAGGCGCGAAAGCGUGGGGAGCAAACGGGAUUAGAUACCCCAGUAGUCC